UACGUAGGGUGCAAGCGUUGUCCGGAAUUAUUGGGCGUAAAGAGCUCGUAGGAGGUCUGUCGCGUCGGCUGUGAAAACCGGAGGCUCAACCUCCGGCCUGCAGUCGAUACGGGCAGACUAGAGUUCGGUAGGGGAGACUGGAAUUCCUGGUGUAGCGGUGAAAUGCGCAGAUAUCAGGAGGAACACCGGUGGCGAAGGCGGGUCUCUGGGCCGAAACUGACGCUGAGGAGCGAAAGCAUGGGGAGCAAACAGG
rnacentral:rRNA from 1 species